GAAUAAAGCUUCUAUAAAUAUUUGCAUAUAGAUGUUCUGUUUCUCUUGAGUAACACCUACGAGAGGAAUGGCUGAGUCAUAUGGUGAGUGAAUGUUUGUAAGGAACUGCCACCCUGUUUUCCAAAGUGGCUGUAUCAUUUGCAUUCCCAUCAGCAAUGCAUGAGGAUUCUAAUUAGCUGUUCCUCAUCCUUGCCAGCACUUGGGCGUUGAGAACGCGUGGUGUUCUAAGGAAUCCCAGUGGCAUGCAUUUGUUGAAAAGGCAUCAGCAGGGCUUUAGUGGGCAGCUCACUGGGUGGAAGUUUGAAAGUCUCAUCUCCUCUGCAAGAGGAAGGUUUGGGUUCCCUUCAGCCACAUUCCCUGGUCCUGGGCGGGAAGGGACCCCUUCCCAGUGCCAACUGGACAGGCUUGGUCCCUCCUGUAGGUUUGGGGUAUUCUGUGACCUCAGGAGUUUAGACUGGGGAGGCUUAAUGUCAUGACGAGAGUGUCGAUCAGGAGUCAAGAGGCCAAGCUGAGCUGAGGGCUUUGAUUUCCUCAUUCAUUAGACAAAGUUUUCUUCUGCUCACAGGUACCAAGAUUCUAGGAACUGCUUCUGAGUUUGGGGAGGAACAGCCACACCCCAUCCUGGAUGCGGAGGUGAGAGGGGGCCUCCUCUCCUCUAGUUCCACGUCGCUGGCCUUUCCUGCCCUCCCCAUGCACCGGGCCUUGUUUGCAGGCUUGUGGGUGAGGAGACAGGCCUUGCUGGCAGCAGUACAGGGCAGACACCUUGGGAUGGAGCUGGGGGAGUGGGGCAGAGCCAGGGGGAGGCUGGAGAGGGCAGGUCAGUGCAGGAGGCAGGGCCCACCAGGCCGCCGAGGAAGUAUCAGACACAGACAGACAGUUCUGGGCGAUGGGAUAAGCAGACAGCAUGCCCUCACCCUCACCUCGUUAUCAGGGGACGUCCCUCCAGAUGGCUCGGCCCAGGAACUGGAAGGAGAGGAGUGUCUUGAAAUUAAAAUGGCACAGGAGGUACCAGUGACACGCUUUAGAGGAAGGCACAUUCCUGUGUGACACUCAAGGCGGUGUCUUUCUGAAGCAGGUGGCACUAGGAUGCUGAGGCACAGCCCGUUGUUGGGGGGGAGCCUGGAGACAGCCCAGGCGCCUGUCUUGCCUCCUCUCACAGACCCUACCUUUACUCUCAGCCCAGCAGAAGCAGCAGAGGCAGAAGCAAGCACGCAACAGCCGGCCACAGCCCCAGGCUGCAGUGUGCCAGGCUCAAUGGGACAGGGCCCAGGCUCCUGGGACAUCGUGGGAGGGGCUGGGUUUCCCCAGAGAAGGCUGUGGCCCUGGGUUGGAUGGGAUGUCCCUGUGGAGGACAGGAGGGGUGUCACUCCAGGUGGGGAUCUGGAGGAGAGGCCAGCGUUCCUGAAAGCACACUCAGGUUGAACUCUGGGGGUCUCCUCUGGGGACAGUGACCUUCCCAGAGGGAGGGAGGCACCCCCACACAGAGGCUUUAGCAGCCCCGCCCUUGUGGCACCAAAGGCGAUGGGGUGCAUCAGGCAAGGAUGCAGAGAGAGACCCUCCUUCUCCUGCCCUGAUUCCACGUGACUUCAUGCGUGGGCAUUUUCCUUAGGUCGGAGGCAACCGGCCCUUUAACACCUUAUUGGAACAGAAUUACCUGUGUAUGCCUGUACUCUCCGUGCAUCUCCUCCGUUUCCUCCCUCCCAGUGCCUGGGGACUGAUCAUGUAAAGUUGUUAACUCUGUUGCUUAACACCUGUGAAGUCCAAGCUUGCCGCAGAGCAACUUUCCUGUGUACCAGUGAGCAGAUGGCUAUGAAUUCUUGUCUCGUGGAGAGGUCAGAUCAUGGCCUCCAGCAUGAUGGGCUCCUGACUUUCAGGUAACAGAUCUGUCCUCUGAGUUGUCACCACACCCAUCUCCUUUCAUCCACGCCAAGGAAAAGAGCCCUCCACUUAGCAAAGGCCUAGCCCAGUGUCCUGCAGGAGCCUUCCGUGUCCCCAGCAUCCCUGGAGAAGAGAAGCAGCCCCUGUAAGUGCUGUUACUAAUGACGCUGGCAACAUCCACCUCCAGGAGCCCAUCUUGAUCUGUACCCUGGGGACCCGUAAGCCCAGGGCAGUGCUCUGGGGGCCAAGACUAGAGACCCACCACAACCCUCUGCCUCUUCUUUCUCCUUGAAUUUCCUUUUACUUUAAUUAUUUGUGGAGUCACAGGGUGGUUGAGAGGUUUCUCCAACCCAGUUCUCUAGAUGUGGGUAAGGUUACACCGUCCUAGCAGGACUACCCUGGUCUUAACCUUCUCCAGAGAAUAAGGCCUCCAUAUACCCCUCUCCCGCCCCCUCCCCCACCCCCGGGACCUGGGUGCAGACACCAUUGCUAUGGUUGACCAUCAUUCAAGGUUCGUUUUCUUCUCGGGUAUGUAGAUCAUUUAGAAUGUUUCUCAAAUCAGUUUUCCACCUGGCGUCUUCGGUGGCGGACUGCUUUUACAAUCGGGUGGAAUUUCCUCUCCAUUAAGGUCCUUGUCUUCCAUCGAAGUCUAGCGGGCUUUGUUUACGUUUACAGAGUCAUGGUUAGGCAUCAUCUUUUGUGGACCAUUUAAUUGAUCGGCCCUCCUCGCCUUCUCUUCUUCACAUUACAGAAUUUUAUUUCUUUUUCCUUACAGAGGGGCCCCAUGCCUGUGGGAGAUGUGACCAGAGUGGAGAAAUAGGGAUAUUUCCCCUCAGUGACUAAAGCAAAGGCAGCCAAGUUCCAUAUCUCAUGGUCCAGGGUCAGCAGGCGCCCGGUGGUUGGUCUGGUUCUGGCCAUUACUGGGGUGUAAAUCUAGAUCUCAUUGGGCUCCUUUACUUAGAGUCCUUCCAAGUCCAAGACGACCCCAGGGAGGCUGGGACAGGCCCAGGGAAGACCCAACCCAGAGCCUUCCUGAGAGCCAUGGCAGCUUCCUGGGGAAGCCUUCCGCGGGCGCCUGCUUGCCCACAGCGGGCUCGUUUUGGAAGGAUCCACAGCUCACCCCUCGCUUCUCUCAAGCGCAGGUCACCUGCCUGGGAAGCCCCUGCUGACCCCCAGGGCACCCACUGGCGGGUGUGCCGAGAGGCUCUGUCUACAAGAUGGAUGAGUUCUGGCUCUAUUCUAAGGAACUGAAAUGCGUCAUUUAGUCAAAGUCUAUGAUACAAAUAGCCCUCCUGUGGGAGCACGGUUAAGAAUAAGCAGUUAGGAGAAAUUUUUCAGCUCUUGAGAGAUUAAUUGAAGUAGAGUUAAAAAAAAAAAUAUAGACCUAUUUCCCUUGUCUGCCCAUUGGUGACGUGUGCGGGCAGACAUGGCUACUUUUUGCUGCCUCAACAGACAGAAUAGCACCUAUACAUGGGGUGGGGGCAUUUCUCAGCGAACUGACCCCACAGCGGGGUUGUUGCAUCUUUGGAUGGUGCUGCGUGACUGGAUGCCUGCCCAAGCCUGAGUGCGUUUCAUUCUUUGAGUUUGGUGCCUGAAUGUUUGUGUGAGCAGCAAAGAGUAGCCGAGUUUCCCCUUGCACCCUCUAGGGCAGGGGACAGAAAUCUUUUUCUGUAAAGAACAGACAGCAAGUGUUUCAGGCUUCGUGGACCUCCUAUCCUCUGUGGCAGCUGCUCAACUCUGUUGGGAUGGUGGUGGGCAGGCAGCCACAGAGAGUAUGCAAAUAAAGGGCUUGGCUGUGGUUCCAAUAAACCUUUAUUUAUAAAAGCAGGUGGCAGGCUCACUUUGCAGGCUGUAGUUUGCCCACUCCUGCUCAGGAGUCAGAGAGAUGAGGAAGUUCCUUCCCUCUCCUUCACUGUUUUCAGGUGAUGCCUGGGAAUAGUUUGUUCAUUCAACACAUACUUACUGCGCAGUCUGCUACUAGGCCAGGCUCUGUGAUGUGAGUUUAGGAGAAAACGGAAUAUACAAAGGUUCCUGAUUCAUGGGACUUACAUUGUAGCAAGGAGACUAGUGUGACUAGAGAGGAGUGUGAAGGAGCCACUGAACUUUGAACUGAGAACUACAUGAUCUCUUAGGAGGGGAGAGCAGUAAGUAAUCCAGGAGGGAGACGGUGGUAGCAUGAACUGGAGUGGUAUCAGGGAAGAGAGUGAGGAGUACUUGGAUUCGGGUAUAUUUUGAAGGUAGAGCCAGCUUGAUUUCCUAAUGGACAUGAUAUGUCUGAGAUAAAGGAUGUUUUGGGCCCAGCAAUUGUACUAUGGAGUCGCCACUAACUGAGACGGGAAUACUAAGGGUGGAAGCAGUGUCACACAUGCUAACUUGGAAAUUUCUCUAGUCAUCCAAGUGGAUAUAGUCAAGCCUGGCAUUUGGGAGAGAGGUCUGAGCUGCAGAGGAUACAUUUAUAUGUUGUCAUCAUGGGAUAAUAAUGGUAUUUGAAGUGAUGGGCUCAGGUGUGAUCGCCAUGGAAACGGAAGUGGCUAGAGAAAAGAGGAGAGCCAAGACUCUGGGGCACUCCAGUAUUAGGACGUUGGGGAGAGGAAGAGGGACCUGCAAAGGAGAGAGAAAGGGGUGGUGAGUGAGCCGGGAAGAGGAAACCAAGAGAGGGCAGUGUCCUGGAGCCAAGCGAAGAGGAUAUAUCCGGGAGGAGGGAGUGGUCUCCUGGGACACGUCCUGCUUGUAGGUCUGGAUCUGUUGUAAGAUGAAGACUGAGUGUUGACCGUUGGCUCUGGCAGUUUGGUGGUUCUUACUGACUGUGAUGAGAGCAGUUUAUGUGGAGGGGAAGAUGGCCUGAUGGGAGGGGUUUGGCUACUCAGAGGAGCAAUUGAAUGGCGGGGGGAGGAGGGAAGUAGGAUUAAAAGAAGAUUUUUGUUGGUUUUUUUAAAAAAAAUGUUUUUAUUGAUUUUUAGAGAGAGAGGAAGGGGAAGAGAGAUAGAGAUAGAAACAUCAAUGAGAGAGAAACACUGAUUGGCUGCCUCCUGCAUGGCCCCCACUGGGGAGGAGCCUGCAGCCGGGGCAUGUGCCCUGACCAGGAAUAGAACCGGUGACCUCUGGGUGCGUGGGUCAACACUCAGCCACUGAGCCACGCCAGCCAGGCUUUGUUGUCUUUGAUACGGGAGAAGCAGUGCAUGUUUGUACGAUGGAAAUCAUCCAGUAGAGAACAAAAAUUUGAUAAUGAGGGCAAGACAGGGAAGAACUGCCAGAAAGGUGUCCUUUAGUAGGUGAGAAAGAUGGGGUCUGUACCAAAGGGAGGUUUCAGCUUUAGACAGCUACUUCGAGGACUUCAGCUUCUGGCCAAGAGCGAGUACUUGGUACUGGGCUCUCCAUAUACAACUAGAAAACCAGGAAGAUUGUUACGGCUUCCUGUUUCACUGAGGCCGCCGGCGAAGAGCUUCCAGAGAUCCCCACCAUCACCCCCUCCAGCACCCACCUCCGCACGCUCUGCUGCCCUCUGUGCCCUUAUCUAGACCAGCUUCAGGCUUCACGGAUUGUCUGCCUAUUGUUUGUCCCUUUUCUAUGUUGACUUCGGCUCUGAUCUGUAAUAUUUCUUUUUUCUGGUGUGAGAGGAUCUGAAGCUCUAAGAAGUUAAGUAAUGUGCCAGCGUACACACAGCUGAUCUCCGCUGGAGCCCAAACUUGAACUCGGGUCUGCUAAGGUCAGAUGAUCUUUUCACCUCACCCACCUCAACUGCCAGGAAAAGUGUACAUGGAAACAUUGCAUAAAGCACCAGGUCCAGUCAGGGCUCGGGCUAACCCGCUGGCCACAGCCCCAUCCGAGGAGCACACGCCCUGCUCUUCCAGUUGUUUGCUUUCUGUGACCCCUGCUUUGUUUAGCACGACCGCCCAGAGCAUUCAUUGGAGCACACUUGGCCUUUAAAGAGGAAAAGAGCUAGGAUCCCAGCUGGCGUGGUUGAAGGCAUGCCUCAAUGAAAUCCGUGUCCCAGAGGGAGUCUUUGGGCAAGGCAGACACAAACUGUGAGAGAUUGGCUCCCAGGAAGCACACCGCCGCAGUCACUUUUCGGGUGGGAUCGUGGGCUUCAUCCUCCCCACGUGUUCUGCUCUGUUCUGGCCUCUGGGCUGUUUGUUGGUUUGUGAGGUGCAAACAACCCUCUUCCGCCGGGCACCUGAAAAUUCUGCUGGGGCUUGUGUGAAAGGUCAGGUCAUAAGCUGUGGAUGCAAGUCGUCUGUGUAUUCACCAAAAGGCCGCGCAGUUCACAGAGGACUGCUGGUUGCCCUGGCAACCUCACAGACAGGGCUCCAAGUAGACAAGAGGUGAGGACAGCAGGCAGCGUCUGUAGGGUGGUUUUCUGUGGCUGAGCCGCCCCUGACAGCAGUCACAGCUACAGCCUGGACACAAGAGGCCAUGCUGGAAGCCUGUGUAACACAGACCAGUCCAGAGCCAAGCUGGUGUGACUGGCUGAGCAGCGGGUCACUGUUGCUUUUCCCUGACACAGUCCAACACUCCUGGCUCCUAGGGUUGUCCCCGGAAACCAGGGGAGUGCAGCUGAGCUGGCCCAGCAGGCGGAUGCUUGGUGCCGUGGAGGGGAGGGGCUCUCAACUCCCUCUGCAGCCACCAUACUCAGGGAUUUUAGGGAAACGACCUCAUCCUGCCUCAGUUUCCACAUUAGUCAUGUGAGGCUGAGAACACAGGCUCUUCCUUUAUAAAGGCAGCUGUGAAAAGCAGAUGUGACAAGAGCAGAGCAUUGCUUGGAGGUCACAAGUACAGUUCCCCAAACAUGCCAUGCCAUCCUCUGGGAAUAGAAGCGGAGACUCAGGAUUGCUGCGUUUGCUAAUUGUGAAUUAAAAAAUAUUUCAUAGUCCCCCCACCCCCACCCCCCGACGGUUCCAAUAUCACCGGUAUGACUACAUGGAUCUCAUUCUUCUUUCGUUCUUCCUGUGUGAGGGCUUGUUGUGGCUAUAUGAGCUGAUAGCCUCAGGCUAGAGGUCAGCGGAACAAUUUCAGCUUGCAAACCAAAUGGAUUUUGACACCCAUAGUGUUGUGGUUGUUUUGAAACUUGAAUUGACUGACAAUAAAAAUCCAGAUUUUUAGCUUCAUUCAAAAAAAUCAAAUCUGGCUUCAUGGCCACAGCAGGCGGGUGUCUGAGCAGCCGCCCCUUGGGCCCUGAGCUCCAGUUUGUGGCAUCUCUACGCUCCUCCGGGUUCAGCCCUCUCCAGCCUCUCACAGGCCAGUGUCAGUUUCAUGUCAGCGGCAUUCGCACUGCAAGUCCAUCUGCUCCCUUAGAUGCCCUGGCUGCGGGAGUCUUUUCAAUCCGUCAUCUCGUAUCUCAAAAGUGCCAGGUGAAAAUCCGGCCAAUGGCCCCAAUGCCUGUGGGAACCCCAGUGCAGGGGACAGUGCAGGUCGGUUCGGAAGAUGAGAUUUGUGAGCCUAAAGGGUUGUAGGCUGUUCACAGUCUUGGCGACUCAGCUUUGCAACAUCCUCAGAUCCCCUUGGAUACACCUGCUGCAUCCAAGUCGCUGGUGCCCUAAAGCACUUUCCUCGUCCGCCGCGUGUCUCUGAGGCCAGUUAUGUCGUAGAACGGUCUCUUGAGCUCUGUGUCCUCCUGCCCGCUGCCCCUGGUCUUAAUUAGCACCUGGUCUUAGCACUGGUCUUCUGGUCUCUUUCUUCUCCAGUCUGUUUCACUUCCCACAAAACAAACGCAGCCUACUUUCCCCUCCACUCGGAAAGCCCUGCUCUCUAAAGGAUGAAGUCAGAACUCCUGACAAAAGGGCUCCCCAUCUGCCCUGACCAGUUUGGCUCAGUGGCUAGAGUGUCAGCCUGUGGACUGAAGCGUCCCAGGUUCGAUUCCGGUCAAGGGCAUGUACCUUGCUUGCGGGCACAUCCCCAGUAGGGGGUGUGCAGGAGGCAGCUGAUGGA